rnacentral:lncRNA from 1 species
GGUGGCAAAAAUGUCGGCAAGAACGGUAAUAAUAAUGGUGGAGUUCAAAAGAACGGCGGUAUUAACGGCGGUGGGGUGGUCCAAUUAAUAAUGGCAACGGCGGGAAGAAGCCCGGUGGCGAAAUGCCUCACGUAAUGAACGGUGGUGGUCCCCACGGUUUUCCGAGCAUUGGUGGCCAUCCCGGAUUGCCGGCAGGAGGAUUAGCUGCCGGCGGUGCUGGUGGUGGCGGCGGAGGCGGGCGGCCAAUGAACCUGAACAUGCCGAUGGCACAAAUGGGGAACAUGCAAAUGAGUCAAAUGGGAUCCAUUCCAGCCGUCCAAGGUCUCCCGGCGCCCGCCAUGAACGGCGGUGGACCCGGCAGCGCGUAUUUUCAAGGAGCUCCCGGACCAGCGGAGGCAAUGGGCGGCAACCCAUACCAACAGCAACAACAAUACAUGGCAGCAAUGAAUCACCAACGCGCCGCCAUGGCAAACCAAGCAAUGAUGUACGCGCGGCCACCACCAGCCGUGAACUACCUGCCGCCGUAUCCGUAUCCAUAUCCUCCGCCGCCACCUGCCGGCGAUAAUUACACCCACUUUUUCAGCGAUGAAAACACUUCAAGUUGCAAUGUAAUGUGAAAAAAGAAAAAAAAAAAGGAACAAAAGAAAAAAAAAGAAUCCAACCAGAAUUUGAAAAUGAUCUUAGACACCAUAAUUAAUUAGAGCUCUAUUAUUAUGGUGAUUAAAUUCUGGUUUUCAUGACAGAUUAAAAAUGUUCAGUUUAUAGUUUUUUUUAUUCAGGAGAGUUUAAAAAAAAAAA